CUUCCUCAGGGGAAUAUUUUAGGUUCCUUCUCCAGCUGUAGAUUGCUCUAUUUCUUGUUUCUUCAGUUCUUGCAUGUUAGCACCAGGACUUCAGUUAUGAGAAGUGUCCCUUUCACUCUACAUUAAGCAAUCAUUGGCGUGUGCUGUCUUAGCUUCUCGGUGGAAUUCUUGCAUUGACUAUUGUCGCCCAAAUUAUGUAUUCCCUGAUACGUAAGUUAGUUUUUCUUGCUGGUUAGUUUUUCUUGCAAGCAAGUAUUCAGUUGAAAUCUGCUAUGCCCAUAAGCUCAGUAGGACAUGCAUGUACAUAACCUGUUUGAUUUAAUCCCUCAAUGCUCAACAACUAUUUACAUGUGCCUACAUAAAUUGUCUCCGUUUCUAGUGCUGCUUAGAAUAUUUUACCUGCCAUUUGUGUCAUGCAUUUAAAUAUUCACUAGUUCCCUUCUAGAGUGAACUGCAGUCCAUGUUUGUUCUGAUAUGUGCUAGUCUGCUAUGUAAUUUGAGUUAGCUCUGAACUUAUGAUAUUUUCACUAAAGCAUCUGAUAUGUGCUAGUCUACUUAUCUCUAACUACCUAACUCUGCUUGCCUGUUUUAUUCUUCUGUGCAGUUCAGAAUCGUUGGUCUAGCAGCAGCUAGGUGCCUAGGUAACAGCAGCUUGCACAGGUAUAGUGAAUGUGCCAUCUGUGAGAUCUAUGGUGAAAUAAUCUCAUAGUGAAUGCCAUAUCUUUGUGAUACAUUUAAGGGACCUGUGUAUAGUGAAUGCAUGUGUGAACUCCAUGUUCCUGCAACUCUGCAAGUAUCUAUGAUGAAAAACAAUUUAUGGUUUGAUUUGAUCCAUAUGCUGUUUGUGCUUUGCACCUCUACAUAAUUGAAGCAUCAUAUACAAAGGUUCGAGAUAGCAUUUCAUGUUUUCAAUGACUACUGUAUGUGCUGUAUACUCUUCUGUCCAAUGCGAUGCAUGCAUGACUUGAAUGGAAUUAAAUUUCAUAGCAGCCAGAGUACUAUAUGUGCUGAUGCAUAAUUUUAUUUUGAUUGCAGGUUAUUAUUGGAUGCAAGCUAAAAAAGAAUGUAACUAGCUAUUUUCAUGUGCUAAGAUUGUAACCUGAGAUUUUAUAUCUAAUAUGCUGUAAUUCUGAUAUGGCUCAAUAUUCUCUAGCUUCUAGCAAGAGGAAGUUAUACAUCUGACUACUCAUUGCUGAUGUACUAAUCUCUGACUCUGAUCUUUCUUUACUUUUGGUGUGCAGGUGUUGUUGCUGGUGGAACCGAAUCCUACAUCCUGGGGCUGCAACAUCCCGUGCAAUGGUGUUCUGUUAGCUUUUGGUAGAACUUCAAAUCAAACUUUGCUGCUGCUGGUUCAUAUUCUUGAUGAAAUCCACCUUUUGUUGUUUCUGGUCAACUAUGUGGUCUUGGAAUGUUACUACUAGUUUUCAUAGAUGGAAAUGUAUGUGAUGGAAAUAUUAUUCAUGUCAAUUUCGGCCUGAAUGGGUUGUGUAUAAAGCUAAAUCUGAAUAACUAAUAA